rnacentral:piRNA from 1 species
UAAUUGGUUGGCCGUCGAGGUAUGG